CCUAGAAAUGAAAAUUUGGUGAAAAACGAUGCAAAUUCUGUGACUAAAAAUUGAAACACUGGUGAUUCAAACGUUAGUUUCAAAUUCAAAUCCCAAAAAAUAAAAACAAAAAAUUGAAUUUAACGGCUAAUUAAACUGAAAACCCUCAGAAUUCUAAUAAAUUCUGAAAAAUUAGAUCUGGUGUCCCGAUUAUCAAUUGUAAUCUAACGCCAAUAACACGACAACUACAAAUUUUCGAUCACUUACAUAUACAUACAUAUAUAUAUUUGAAAUUCUCUCUCAAGUAGUUUCGAGAUUUUGUCUCGUUAGGUUUUUUUUGUCUUAAGAUUAUUGGGAGGGUUUCGUAUUUUGUGGUGGCGAUUCGUGCCGUCAGGGGUUC
rnacentral:lncRNA from 1 species